rnacentral:rRNA from 1 species
GACGAACGCUGGCGGCGUGCUUAACACAUGCAAGUCGAACGGAAAGGCCCUGCUUUUGUGGGGUGCUCGAGUGGCGCACGGGUGUGUAACACGUGAGUAACCUGCCCUUGACUUUGGGAUAACUUCAGGAAACUGGGGCUAAUACCGGAUAGGAGCUCCUGCUGCGUGGUGGGGGUUGGAAAGUUUCGGCGGUUGGGGCUGGACUCGCGGCUUAUCAGCUUGUUGGUGGGGUAGUGGCUUACCAGGGGUUUGACGGGUAGCCGGCCUGGGAGGGUGACCGGCCACAUGAGGACUGCGAGACGGACCAGACUCGUACGGGAGGCAGUAGGCGGGAGUAUGGCGCAACGGGCGGAAGCCUGAGGCAGCAACGCCGCGUGCGGGAUGACGUGCUUCUGGUUGUAAACCGCUGUCGCCGGUGACGAAGAGGGAGUGACGGUAAUGGGUAAAGAAGCACCGGCUAACUACGUG